UCCCAAUUUAUUAUACUUGUAUUUUUCUUUGAGGCGACUAAGAAGGGUGUCAGUUUUAUGGUCGUAUUAGAUAUUUUCUUGACGCUGAAACCAGUGCGCAUGCGCGACUAGAAACGAAUCUGGCGUCACUGGUCCCAAGCGGUCCCAAGAGUGCAAACACGUGUUGCUCGUGAAUUAUCGUAUGAUUUUACAAGGGUAAGGAAGAACUAGGACGACGAGUGGGCGGAUUUAUCAAAGGAUUUGCUUCCUUCGCGUUACGCAAGGAGACUUUGGGAGAGAAUGGAGGCACAGUCACGCGAUUUCCACAAAUUGGAGAUUGCAAUAAUUGUUGUGUCAGCCUGGUUGGAUGAAACUUGUGAUAUAUGUAUAAACAGAGAUGUUACAUAAUGGGUGAAAUUCGCGUUACAAGAAGAAUUGUGAAAGAAUACAAAGAAAGAAAGGAUUCAUCAAUUUUCCAAAGAAAAUGUUCUUUCACCUUAACCGUUCUAUCACCUUGGACGGUUAUCCUAUAAUCGGUUGGACGAUGAUCGACGGCGGCACGAGCAGCCCUCUCGAAAUGGAGGGGGAAGGGUUGCUACCCGUUGCGCGACUGGAGGCGAUUCUGACCAGUUGCCGCGUGUACUCCGAACCGUUCGCGUCGUUGUUUAUGGGGUGUUCGAACUUGAUCGACCCGUGAUCGACCCCGCGACGUCCGGCAGGUAACAGGCAGUCGGCUGGAAGACACCUGAGGAAUUGUUGUUACCUAUCGGCUACCAUUGUCUGGCGAGAAUGAUACUCGACUUGAGAACGACUCCUCCAGCCGAUGAUCCCGUCCAAGGACCCGAAUCCCGCGGGUUUCGAUUGUCGAGCGUGUUCAUUCAGGUCAAGGCUCCGACGCGAACGUGCAUUUGUAACACAGACCCUCGUUAACAAUGGACACGGAAUAGUGCGCUAAUUAGCCCGGCGGAUAUUUGGGAAAGGUGGAAUGUACAGGGUGUUUCGGUAGAAAUAAUUGCGCGCUUUCAUUUUUGACUGUUUGUGACUCUACAGUAUUUCAUCGUCGGUUUGUUGUUGUAUGUUAAAUUAGUAAUUUUAAAUGACCAACCUUGGAG